AAAACUUGUAAAUCAUUUCUGAAAUUUAUAAGGUUUCCAGCUGACAAUUUUCUGCCAAGUUAACAUUUCAAAAAUGAAAAACAAAAUAAAUGUGUAUUUUAGAGUAUUAUCUAGAUCUGCGCCCCUUUGUAAAUGGAUUCUAUGGUGGUUAAGUCAUCUAGAAACACCUUGAGAGCAAGGUUCCAUCCUACUACUUCCUAAUUACAUCUGAUCUGCUGGAUUUUUGUGUCCUCUUUAUACUAGCUGUUUCUAACUGGGGGGCGGUUAUGGAAUGUUUCUUAGUGACAGCUGGGGCCUGCCAAUCUCAUUCAUUGUUUUCUACUUCUGCACAGUGCAUCAAAGGCCUUUGCCCCAGCCAGCACUACUUCCUAUGAGCUCCAACACUUUCCCUUCGAGAUCUACUAAGCCAAGUCCCAUGAACUCUCUCCCAUCCUCUCACAUGCCUGAAGCAUUCUCAGAAAGUAACAGCAGUUUUCCACAGAGUGCCUCCCUGCCGCCAUACUUCUCUCAAG
rnacentral:sRNA from 1 species